rnacentral:rRNA from 1 species
AGCGAACGCUGGCGGCAUGCCUAACACAUGCAAGUCGCACGGGGGGGCUUCGGCCUCCCAGUGGCGGACGGGUGAGGAACGCGUAGGGACCUGUCGAGGGGUGGGGGAUAACCGCGGGAAACUGCGUCUAAUACCGCAUGACGCCGCGGCGUGACAGCCGGGGCCACAGGCGUAAGCCGCCCGCCGAGGGGCCUGCGUCCGAUUAGCUGGUUGGCGGGGUAGCGGCCCACCAAGGCGUCGAUCGGUAGCUGGUCUGAGAGGGUGAGCAGCCACACCGGGACUGAGACACGGCCCGGACUCCUACGGGAGGCAGCAGUGGGGAAUAUUGGACAAUGGGCGCAAGCCUGAUCCAGCAAUGCCGCGUGGGUGAAGAAGGUCUUCGGAUUGUAAAGCCCUUUCGGCGGGGACGAUGGUGACGGUACCCGAAGAAGAAGCCCCGGCUAACUUCGUG